GACAGAGGUGCCGAGCGUUAGGCGGAAUCACUGGGCUUAAAGCGUGUGUAGGCGGAUCGUUAAGUACCUUGUGAAAUCCCCCGGCUCAACCGGGGAACUGCUGGGUAUACUGGCGAUCUUGAGCGAUCUAGGGGCAGAUGGAACAAGUGGUGGAGCGGUGAAAUGCGUAGAUAUCGGGAAGAACACCCGUGGCGAAGGCGGCUCUCUGGGACGGUACUGACGCUGAGACGCGAAAGCGUGGGGAGCGAACAGG
rnacentral:rRNA from 1 species